AUUGAACGCUGGCGGCAUGCCUUACACAUGCAAGUCGAACGGCGGCAUGAUCUAGCUUGCUAGAUUGAUGGCGAGUGGCGAACGGGUGAGUAAUACAUCGGAACGUGCCCUGUAGUGGGGGAUAACUAGUCGAAAGAUUAGCUAAUACCGCAUACGACCUGAGGGUGAAAGGGGGGGACCGCAAGGCCUCAUGCUAUAGGAGCGGCCGAUGUCUGAUUAGCUAGUUGGUGAGGUAAAGGCUCACCAAGGCGACGAUCAGUAGCUGGUCUGAGAGGACGAUCAGCCACACUGGGACUGAGACACGGCCCAGACUCCUACGGGAGGCAGCAGUGGGGAAUUUUGGACAAUGGGGGCAACCCUGAUCCAGCAAUGCCGCGUGUGUGAAGAAGGCCUUCGGGUUGUAAAGCACUUUUGUCCGGAAAGAAAUCGCACUUACUAAUAUUAGGUGUGGAUGACGGUACCGGAAGAAUAAGGACCGGCUAACUACGUGCCAGCCGCCGCGGUAACAC
rnacentral:rRNA from 1 species